UUGGUAAGGACGGGGUUAAACCCGCCUGCACAGGGCU
rnacentral:tRNA from 1 species